UUGAACUUACCAAGACAGAGAUCCACCU
rnacentral:piRNA from 1 species